GGCGGAGUGGCCGAGUGGUUGAGGCACAGGCCUGCAAAGCCUGAUACACGGGUUCAAUUCCCGUCUCCGCCU
rnacentral:tRNA from 1 species